UUGUAGGUUCUGGUGGGUUUGCUAAAGGUUUAGGUGGUGGUCUGAGUGUGUUGAUUCGGUCACUAUCAAUAGAUGGUAAUCGCACUUGGUAGGUGAGAGGUGCCCGUCGAUCGAUCGGAGGUGAGGGGGGUCGAUCGAUAUCAGUCUCUCUCUGUUGGUCGACUGCUGGCUCAUGCCGUCGAUCGAUUUUGACGUAAAAAGGGGAGGGUGGGUGAGGAUGUUUUUCUGCGAAUUCCUCAUGAGUCAUGAUCCAAACUGCACUACACUCC
rnacentral:lncRNA from 1 species